rnacentral:lncRNA from 10 species
CCUGACUUGGAUUCCCAUUAAGGACUGAAAGUUUGUGUUUCCCCCCAAUUCCUAGGUUGACACCCUGACUUCCAAUGUGACUGUGUUUGGAGGUAGCACCCUCAAAGGUAGACAGCAGCAGUUUAUUGAUCCUGGGCCACUUUCCAGAGACCACUCUCCUAGGACAGACCAUUGAACUCUUAUGGGUCCUCCUGGGACCAGUCACAGCAAUUUGGAUUUAUCUACCCCAGAAGGUAAAUGGGUCAAAACAACACAUUAAUUAGAUUAACUCCAAGGCAAAAUUCUGUCUCUUUUUUUAACUUUUUAUUGAGAAAUAAUGGUAGAUUUGCAUACAGUUGGAAGAAAUAAUAUGAGAGAUUCCAUAUAUUCUUCAUUCACUUUUCUCCUAUGGUUCUCCUUGGUUUCAUCAUAACCAAGAAAGCCCUGGUUGAUAAUCCACUGUAUUCAGAUAUGACCCAUCUUAUUAGAUAUGAUCCACUGUAUCAGAUUUCCCUUUACAUGCACUUAUUUGUGUGUGUGCGUGUGUACGUGCACAUUUAGUUAUAUGCAAUAUAUCACAUGCACAGAUUCAUGUAAUCACCACCACAAUCAAGAUACAAAACAGUUCCAUCAAAGGGACCCCUCAAGCCACCCUUCUAUUGCCAGAGCCACCUCCUCCCCACUCGCCUGGCAAGUACUAAUCUAGUCACCAUUUCUAUACUUCUGUUCUUUCAAGAUUGCCAUCAAAAUGCAAUCAUACAGUAUAUAACAUUUUCGAAUUGACAUUAUCCACUCAGCAUAAUUAUCUGGAAAUUCAUCCAAAUUGUUGUAUCUGUUAAGAGUUCACUCCUCAUUAUCAAUGAAUAGUAUUCCAUGGUAUGCACAUACAACAGUUUAACCAUUCACCUGUGCAAGGAAAUUUGAAUGGCUUCCAGUCUCGAUUUUGAAUACAGUUGCUAGGAACAUUUGGGUACAGGUUUUGUGUGAACAUCAGUUUUUAUUUCUGGGUUUAUGGUAGUUGCAUGUUUACUUUUACAAGAAACUGCCAAGCUGUUUUCCAAAGUGGCUGUACCAUUUUAUACUCCCACCAGCAACGUGGGAGAGAUCUAGUUUUUCCACAUUCUUGCCAGCAUUUGGUGUCUUCAUUAUUUUGUAUUCUAGCCAUUCUGAUAGGUGUAUAGGGGUAUCUCGUGAUUUUAAUUUGCACUCAUUUAAUGGCUAAUGAGGUUGGACAUGUUUUCAUAUGGUUAUUUACCAUCUCUAUAUCCUCUUUGGUGAAAUGUCUGUUCACAUUUUUUCCUCAUUUUCUAAGUAGAUUGGUUUUUUACUGUUGAGCUUUGAGCAUUCUUUGUAUAUUCUAGCAACUAGGAAUAUGGGCUCUAUCUGGAAGGAAUUCUGAUGGAUAUAGUUACUUAGCUAUUACAUCACUUUAUAUACAGAGUUUGGCAACCAAAUUUUCAAAUCAGGAAUCCAGGGAAGAAGAAAACAAUGAGUAAGAGAAGUCCUCAGUGUGGAAAUUUUGAGAAUGGCUUACAAUGUCUCAGUAUCUCAGACUGCUGGCUUCUGAGGAGCCCCACUAAGACCCUGCUGUCCCCAUGUGGGCCUGUCUGGGGCAGGCAGCCUGAUUCUUAUCCAUCAGGUAUCAACAUCCUCAGUGACAUACCAUCUUUUGUUCACAACCAGAAGAUUGGAGAGGGGACAAUCGGCUUCCUCAACGACCAAAACAAGUCUAGGACUGGGGCUCUUUGGCUCUGCAGCCAGAGCUGGUUCACGUGCUCAUCCCUGAGCCAAUCACUAUCAUCAGAGGGGGACCUGAGGCUCUGAUUGGCCAGGCCUGAGUUGCAUGCUCCCAGAAGCAGGGAGGAGUUCACCCUCAUUAGAAGCAAAUUGUGACGACUUUCAAAGGAAAUCGGGGCUAGCCAUGACUAGCCAUGGCUGAGUGGAUGCUGAUUAGCUCCAAACCACAAAUGUUCACCCCCGCCAUGCUCUGUGCUCACCUCUGCACUUGAACUCACCCCAAUGCCCACACCUGGAACGACCUCGUGUUCAUCCCACCACUACUCCAUCCUACACUCCUGUUCACUAAAAAACCCAGAGCCUGCCUCCACCAACCAGCCUUCCCUGAUUAUCUCAGCCCACACAUACCCUUCCUCGGCACUCUGAAGCCACUUACUGUCCACAAAGCUCACAGGGCACCUAGCACGGCUGCCUGGUCAAGCUCUUUGUCUUUUGGGGUGCAUGUAUUCUCUCCAAUACAGUUCUCUAGGGCUAAGGUAUAUAAAUUUUUUCUUUAAAGAAUUGGAUCGUAAAUAUUUUAGGCUUUGUGGGCCAUACAGUCUCUGUAGCAACCACUCAACUCUGCCAUUAGAGCACAAAAGUAACCACAUACAUGUAAAUGAAUGAGGAUGGCUGUGUUCCAAUAAAACUUUAUUUGCAAAAACAGGUGGUGGGCUGGGUUUAGCCCAAGUACUGUGGUUUGUCAACCCUUGCUCUAGGGCUUUAAGGACUGGACCUUGCCUUCUUGAUUUUUGCAUGUCCCGUUCAAGCCAGCACAGCACUUCACACACAGGGACCGACAGUAAUCAAAGCUGACUGGACAACAUUGAAUUAUAUUAUUUUAGUUUCCUUCUUUUAAAAGAAACAGUAGAAAGCUGUGAAGACUAUAGCCAAAUAGGAAUGAGUGCGUGUUCCUGCUUCACACCAAGAAUGAGAUGCAGGAUAUGCUGGGAAUUUCUCUGUCCAGACUCUUCCAGAAUUCAGAAACAACCAGAGCAACUGGUAAAAGAUACUCCUCUCUGGGGCACACCUAUCAUAAAUAAAUGUAAAAGCAUGCAUGUCUGUGGGUGUUUUUAGUGUGUGUGUGCAUGUGUGUGUACAUGUGUCUGCAUAUAUGUGUGAAUGCAUGUGUGUAGCAUCAGCACACCACCAACAGGCAUCCACGUUGCUGGCAUCCACGAUGCCAGCCCCAUCAUCCUGCUGAAUCCACUUCCUCCUCAAAGACCCUGCCAAGACUGUCCCAUAGCGUGCAUCUCUGUGACUAUCUCUGGGAAUAGAGAUGGUUCAAGCCUGGGCCAUUCUGUGAUUCCACGCUAGGCAUUUUGGGACCCCUUUGUUCUGUCUGGAGGGCCAUGAGCUAGAGAAGUCAUGUGGAGGGCCAUGAGCUAGAGGAAAAGUGAGUGUUUUUAAUGAGAGUAUUGCUCCCUCUUGGUCUUAAAGAGCCAAUUGUGUCUUUGAGCUGAAAGCCGUGGGAAGGAGCACAGGAAAGAGAAUGAAUGGACUUGGGUUCUGAAAACCAUCUUUCCUGCUGCUGGGAGGGGUUGAUGGGCCCUCUUGGGGUUCCCCACUUCUAUUGAGCCCCAGAUGUCCUCCCUUUUAUGCCUCCUGCUUUCCUGCCUUACUGGGCUUUGUGAUAGCAUCUGAGCUCUACCACGUAUUUACCGUGGGAUCCUGGAGAAGGUGUGUUGUCUCACUGAGUCUCAACCACUCAUCUGCACAUUAGGAAUCAAAUCUAUUUCUUAGGACAGUUGUGAGAAUGGAAGAUGAUGCAUGUGAAGUUCCUGAGACACAAUUUACUCUCAGAAAUGGCAGCCAGCAUGAAUAUUAAUAAUUCUACUUAUUAUUAUUAGCAAUUACCUAAAAUGCUUCAUGAUCUUCAGCUGUGUUCAUGUGGCCUCAUUCUCCUAGAGGGCCCUCCAAUCCAUCCCCACUCCAUGGUGCCCACUUCUUCACAAAGGGACAAAAGCAUUUCCCUAGCCAUUCUUCAUAAAUACCGCUAACUCUUUCAUACAACCUUCAUGAGUCUUCUGACUCAAACCAUAGUGGAGGCCUUGUCUUGUUCUGAGAAGCCAUAUGGCAAGGUGGAAAAAGAACCCAGGAACGGUUGUUCAACCUGGGCAUAAGGCAGGGCUCUCCAGAGAAAGAGAACCGUUGGGAUAUACAUGAGGAGAUUUAUUAUGGGAAUUGGCUCUUGAGACUAUAGAGUCUGAGAAGCCCCAUGACCUGUUUUCUGCAAGCUGGAGAACCAGGAAUGUUAGUGGUGUAAUUUUGUCCAAGUCUAAAGGCCUGACAAUUGAGAUAGGGUUGGGGGACAGCUGCUAUAAGUUACUGGGUUCAAACAACCCAGAACUAAGCUCUCUAAUGUACAAGGGCAGAAGGAGAUGGAUGUCCCAGUCAGAGAAAGGAGAGAGAAUUCGACUUUCCUCUGUGUUUUUGUUCAAUCUGGGCUCUCAGUGGAUUGGAUGAUGCCCACUUACUUGGUGAGAACAGGUCUUCUUUACUCAGUCUACCCAUGCAAAUGCUAAUCUCUUCCAGAAACACUCUUACAGACACACCCAGAAAGAGUGCUUUACCAGCUAUCUGGGCAUCACUUUGCACAGUCAAGUUGACACAUACAAUGAAGAGUUACAACCCGAGUUCAAAUUCUUGC